rnacentral:tRNA from 1 species
GUACUUAUAGUUUAACCAAAACACUAGAUUGUGGUUCUAGAAAUAAGAGUUAAAACCUCUUUAAGUAUC